UACGUAGGGGGGCGAGCGUUGUCCGGAUUCAUUGGGCGUAAAGAGCUCGUAGGCGGUUCGGUAAGUCAGGUGUGAAAUCUCCACGCUCAACGUGGAGGGGCCAUUCGAAACUGCCGUGACUCGAGUCCGGUAGGGGAGUUCGGAAUUCCCGGUGUAGCGGUGAAAUGCGUAGAUAUCGGAAGGAACAUCAGUGGCGAAAGCGGCUUCCUGGACCAGUACCGACGUUCAGGCACGAAAGCGUGGGGAGCAAACAGG
rnacentral:rRNA from 1 species